UCCGCCUCCUAGUCAGCCCCCGCCCCCGCCCCUCCCCUCCCAACUCUCUGUGCGGGGUGUGAGAAGGGAGGCGGAGUUAGAGGAGCGAGCAGGGGGGCGGAGGGAGAUGGGGAGGAGCGAAGGCGGGAGCCUGAGAAAGGGGAAAAAGAGCGGCGGAGAAGAGGGAGGACAUGCGGGGAAGGAGAGAAACAGGGAAGCGGGGAGGAUGCCGGGAAGAAGGAAACCACGUGAUGGCCGGGGAGAGGCGCCAGGAAGCCUCGCAGAGACCUCACUGGGCAGACGGGGGCUUCCUUGACGGGCUACGGAGAAAGGGAGCCCGACACCGGAAAAGGCCCGGAUCUGGCUGGACCGGACCAGGAACCCCACUCGGGCCUCCUUCCGGCGUCUUCCUGACUGGCUUUGGGAAGCAGCGCCAGAGAAAGUCCCCAUUGGAGCACGAGUGCCCACCUGGAGAUCGAUCUGCUACCCAGAAUGCCCCGCGCGGUGCCCUCGGGCCCCCCUCCUGCCUGGCACAAAGCGGGAAUGCAGAGACCUCGAGGAAAGUGCAGGGCCCCGAGCUGUGUUAGGAGACAGAAGAGCUGGGAACUGGGGACGCCCGAGGCCCCGGCAGCCUUUUCCGUCUUCCCUAAAGCCAGGAGACCCGAGCGCCCUAAAGUGUGCGGGCGAACACAGGCACCAGAAACCCUCUGACCCACGGGGGAGGGGCGGGGGCGAGGACCGGACUCAGACUGGAGGAUCUUAAGGGAGGCUUGCUAAGAGGGGAGAAGGGGAGGGCCAACCCCAAGGCGACGUAGAGGCCUCCGGGAAACCGGAAGUUAAGAUCGCGGCCAGCCCUCCGCCUCUACUUCCAAAGCUUUUCUCUCCUCGGCUCUGUACCCGCCUGUGGAACUUCCUCCGUCCCGAGCCUCCAGCCUCGAGACAAGUCCAGGAAAAGGUGGAGGAGCUUCAUCUGAUGGACUCACUGUGGCUACUUGGCUGCCUCUAUAGGGAGCCUAGAAUCCCAGGGAUGCCUUGGAGAGGGACAGACUCCCAGACCAGGUAAAAGUAUUCCAGCUCCAUAUGGGAGCCCCAUCAUCCAGGGAGACUCUCCUCUGGCUCUGACACAAGAUGGGCUUGGAAGCUUCUCCCUCCUUCCUUCUGGGCCAUUUUUGUCCCCACAUCCCAGGCAGGACGAACAAUCCUUCCUUGGCUCUCUUUUGGCCUUUGGGAAGGAUUCCUUGGCCUUUGGGCAACUUAGACUCCAAAAUCUCCCCCCCACCCCAGGUACUGCCUCUCAGGUCGGAUUUCUCCCUGGGCACAAGUGAGUGCUGAAAAUCAGUUUCCCCAAAAGGAUCAUGGAAACAUAAUCAACUUAAAUAUUGCAGUAAGUUGUGGACAAAAGGAAAAGAGAACAAAAACAAUGAUUACUAGGUUGACAAAAAGCCAAUUUGGGGCAGUCCUCUUUGGCAUAAGAGUAUUCAUUCAAAACAAAAGCAUUUCAACCCCCUUAUAGUUCAAUUCGAACCCUAAAGUUCACUCUGGAUGUUCUGGUGAAGCAUGUGGUCUCUGCAGUCAUCUGUUUUCAUGGGGCAUUCUGGAUUCUGGGAGGUAGUAAAUUUCUUAUCCUAAAAUUGUUCAUCUAUGUGACAAUUAACAAAGGCAACAUGUGAACUUUGAUGGUUCUAGUGACAAGAGUUUGGGCAAGAUAUUCAUGAGCUUAUACAGUGAUAUUUUGUUCUUCAGCACAGGUAAAGGUACAAAUUAAAGAUCAAUAUAGGCAAAACAUAGUAGCUUAAAAUGAUUCAGUAUAACAGAAAGAUACUGAUUGAAUUAAAACAGAUAAACUUAAAACAAUUAAACCUUAAAACAAUCAGUAAAUACAAUAAUAUAAACCAAUAAGAAGGUACAGACAGGCAGUGCAGUCAAAAUCUUUUUCACCAAUCCCAAUAGACUUGUUUGCUAUUAUAGGAGGAGAAUAAACUCAAAAUAGUUAGCAAGAAACUUCGAGAUCUCUUUAAAGUUUCCUUCCCCUCCCUCAGUAUUGUUAUCCAUUUAGAUUUCUUUUGGCAGCGCUAUGAAUUUUUUCAUAGAAGUACAGGGCAGAAUCUCCACUCUGCAUAUUGAUAGCAGUUGGGACUUUUAGAACUUUGUCAAAAUAUUUCAGGUUGGUUUGUAGCAUAAGCAGCCUGGCUUGUGGCAUAUUCUUGAGAAGGAAAUAAAGUGGGAAAUCUCCAAUGAAAAUAAAAAUUCCCAGGAACAGAAUUAAGCAGAUCCAAGCUGCACUUUUUAGCUAUACCAACUCAAAACAGUUGUUUCAGAGUUUUAAGCAUGCUUUGAAAUAGCAUUUUUCCUGAAAGAUGCUGAAGGGGGUUUGUUUUUAAAGAGUAAACAGAAAGAGACAAAACUUCUAGGGAAAACAAUAGCGUAUUUGCAUAUGAGAGAAAAAAUACUUCUCCUUGGUGUUUUGGGUUAAGCAAAAGAAGGAAAAAAAAUCAGGCUUAUUCCUCAAAACUGACUUUAAAUCUACUGAUUUGGAACUAACUUCCCUCUCUGUGAAAAACUUUUAGUAACAGCCUUCCAAACUAGGAGUCCAGGAUCAGCUUAAAAAAAAAUCUGCUUGAAAACUAGUAAGUGUGGGGUUCCUUUUUUCAUGUUGAAAAAUGGCUAUGGCAGGCUAGAAACACAUGCAGUGUGGAAAGGGAUUGGGGUGAAAAGAUUAUUAUAUGUCACUCUUUGUGGAAAUAAAAUGGCUGGGUUGUCAGGCUCUUGUGGCACAUGUGGUCUCCGCAAGAGGAGGCUUCAAGCUGGGUGGAGAGCGGUGAGGAAUGCUGGUCAAACAAAUGGACUGGAGAAACAGCAGGCAGCGGGAAGCAGGGCAGGGCAGGAGCGCAGGCACACCCUGUCACUAGACCUCGUGGUGGGCAGCCAUGAGGCACUUACUAUCUUUACUGUAAGGCUAUCUGCUGAAAAAUUUUUGAGAAUUCAUAAUUGUUUCAUGGUGUUAGACCUGGUUCUGGUUUCCCAAAUUGGGAGGCACACAGGAUAAUGUAAAAGCAAGAGGUACUGCUUUAUUACAAGCUCGAGUUUGGGUCCCACAACCUCCUGGGCAGAUGGAACCCUGAACGAAAGGGAGAGAAGGAUUAUAUAGGGUAGGUUUGAGUUGCAGAAGAGGACGUCUUAUAAAACAGUUGGGUAGGGUUAGGUCCUUGCAGUCAAGUUGUGGGAAGGAAAUCACUUUAAAAGACUGAUAUAUAUUAAUUUAAGGUCGCCAAGGAAUUCAGCUAUGUAAUUCCUAAAUGAAAACUCAAGUCAGCAGUCAACCCUUUAUGGAGUUUAAUUACAAACAGGAGGAAGAAAGGCAUUAGAGAUAGAGAUAGAGAGGGAGAGAGAAAGGGGAGAGAAGGGAAUAGGGCUUAAAUACCCCUUCUGUUUAGGCUGGGCCAAAAGGCCCAAGCCCUUAGAUAGCUGAGGCAAAGAAAAGAGAUCAGUUCCUAUCACUCACGUGACCAAAAUGGAGAAACAGUCUCAGCGGCCUCCACCUCCAGCUUUCUUCAGAGCAAGCUUCUCAGAGCACAACCUCUCCAACCAACCACCCCUAGUCCUCAGACCCCGCUAUCUUUAAGGAAACCAUCCAAGUUCCCUCCCCUCAGUUCUCAUAUCUACCAAUCACUGUCCAUGUCUUCCCUGUGCCAAUGGUGGCUCUAGCUUAACCCAGGACCACCCAGAGGUCUGUGGCUUUGCACAUGUCUGUUGAAGGUCAUAUUCUCAAAUAAUUAAAUCUUGAUCCUUUGCUGCAGCCCUUCCUAAAUCCUGUUACCCUGAGUAGGGUGGAGAUUGGAAUAAUUAAAUUUUGAUCUAUGCUGCAGCCCUUUCCAUUGUUCAGCAAAAGGUUUCUGUCCUAAAGUAAUCUUAAGAAGGGAGGAGGAGGAACCUCCCUUGCCAAUGGGGUUCACAUUCCAAUGGUGAAAUUUCCAACAUUCACAAGUCUAAGAAAUUUUAAGGUUUACAAAGUGUAGGCUUGUGGUGCCUAGUACAGUUUAUCUCCUCAGAAAAGUUGGGAGGCCCUAGGUGGGGUUCGGUCCUGGGGGUUGAGUCUUUAUCAGUCCCUAGCACAUUCCAGGUUAUGGUCACUGGUUCUUCAGUAACUUGACUGCAGGGGCUCUAGGGAGUCCUGCAGGGGUUCUAGGGGCGAGGGGAUCAGGGAAGAGCAUAGGAGCUGGUUCUUCAUUCCCCACUUCUUCUGCUGUACAUGAGGAAUCUUCCUCAUGUGACUGUAUCAUCAUAAGGGGAUUCAGUAGGAGUCAGAGUUUGAUAUUGCUGGUGAAGGACCAUAGCUGGACAAUAUUAAUGUAGUCCUCGACAAAGGCUACUCAGCGAUUUACCAGCCCGAUAUGAUCAGCAUAAAAGCAAAGAAUCCUUAGGCUAGGAGUCAUGAGGUUGUAAGGGAGCAAAGGAAUUUCCCUGACAAUAGACUGCCCGAGUUUCUGGGGGUGCAAUACCCAUGUCAUCUCCCCUCCCCCCCUCCAAAUAUCUAAGGGGAAAGGGGCGAUAGUCUCAGUCUUCUGUAGUUUCUUCAGAGCUGAAAAUGGUUGUAGCGCUGUCCUUGCCUAUGGUCAUGAGAGAGGUAUUGACUGUAGGCAAUGUCCAGGGCUUCAGGCUGGAAUAGUUGCCGAGGUUACAGUGGCAUCUGGGUGGCUCCCAUGAGUGCUUCUACCUUAGAAGCAACUAGAGAAGUGACAAGGUUACAAAUGCAAGGUCCACAUAUCCCACAGGGGAACUUGAACAGGGAGGGAAAGGCUGUGGACACAGGGUCUUUAGGGACGUGUCCUCAGUGAAUGCCUGGGUCCUAGGUAGGGGGCGACCUGCUUGGAGAUCUGAAGGAUGUCCAGUGACUGCUUCCCCUGAUUGGCAGACAGGUCACAAGGGGGAGAGUCAGUUCCUAAGAUAGAAGUGUAGAAACCAGGACUAGGGCAAAAACUAGAACACCAGAUAGAAACAGAGAAAUUAGUACAAUAGUAAUUGAUAUUACACAUUUCCAUUUGGGUAUCUUAGCCAACAGACUUCUUCAGAAAUCAUCUUCUGACAGGAAUAGAUCCCUUUAGGAAAUCGGAUUCCUGAGUUGUUUGCAGAGUUGGUAUGUGAUGUUUCUGUUAAAGAAUAUCCUUUUGCCAAGUACACAUUAACUAUAAACAUCUAUAAACACUUGAGUAACAAUAUUUUACAGAUGUAUUUCUUUACCCCAGAUUCUGGGGUAAAUUCAAGAAAGCUUUGAGCUAUAUUUCCAAGCUCAAGAUCCAAACUUCAACUGUGGUCAAUUAAGGCUACAAAUACAAGCCAUCUAUUAAUAAACUUCACCUACUUCUCAAAGUAUGUUCCCUAACAAUUUAAGAGUUUUCAAUUAUUAACCUAAUAGGUUGUUUGAGGAAAUAUAAACUUUAAUUUUACAAUUUGUACCAUAUGCUGACUAUGAGAACCCGUCACAAAAGAAAAGGCAGAUAGGGAAAGCAUUUCCCCACAUCCCAAGGGACACAUAGUAAGGGCUUCACAUACAGGCCAAAGCCACCACUGGCUCUGACAUCACUGCAUCACUCAAGGAUCAACUGCCUAGAUGGUCAGAAAAGGUCCAUUCCCAAGUGAGCCCAGAAUAUGCCUCUAUAACCAUCCCAGGACAUUCUCUGUCCUUUGGGUACUGUGUCUCCAUUAGAUCCCAGAAGCCUUCUUUUUCCUUAAAAGACAAGUCUCACUCAUUUCAGCUGAGAGAAAUUCUGCUUAUCAACAGUCCAGAAACAAAUUUCCAUACCUUCAAACAAGCCUUUUAUAUCCCUACAAGGCUGAUCACUCAAUUAUUCUUAUGUAUUUUGGCAAUAAUUUACAUAUCACACUUCAGUCACAAAACCUGAAAUAAAGAAAAGGAGUGCUGAAUUGAGUAGCUCCCUAGUAAUAUAAAUCAGAGCUGUAUUAUCUCUUGGACCUAGGCCAUCUGAAAGACCAUGACAAGAUCAGUCAGGAAUUACUUCAGGGUAACUGUACAGAGAAAUUAUAGUAUUAUAUAUGAUUUUCCCACAACACAUACAUUAAUUUUAGACAUUAUCCCUAGGUCAGGGAUCCAAUUAUAAGAGUAGAACAUCUAUCUGUUCUCUUUCACUUCCCUAUAUGUCUCCUCUCUCUCUCUCUCUCUCUCUCUCUCUCUCUCUCUCUCUCUCUC